rnacentral:misc_RNA from 1 species
AGAGAAAGAGAGCGUGUAUGUUUGAGAAAGAGGGAUUAAAGUGUAAAAAGGUCUGUCUAGGCAAGUUUAAUCAUCGAACCUUAAGUUCAACCAUUGAAGUUGAUUUGGGAUAGGAUAUAUAAAUCGAUGGUUUUGGUGUCUCACCAACCCCUUCACUCAAUUUCUCCUCUUCCUUUCCCCUUUCUUCACCUCCCUUUGGUUCCUCUAUUUCCUAGACCUAAAACACACUGCCCUAGUCUCUACAUGAAGGAGAAUUACCUUAAACCUCUAUAAAAGAAAGAAAGUACCCUUUCCUCUCCUUCAAAUGAGUUGAAGAAGAAGAGGAGGAAACUCCCUUGGAAGCAAUAACAAAAGAGGUAAAUUUCCUUCUCCUUCUUCUUAGUUUGAUUAAAGAUCCUAAGGUAGUAUUUUGCAAAAGAAAUGAUUUAGAUUAUUUUUAAGGUUGUUCUAGGGUUUGGUGUAAAAUAAUGAGAUUUUAAGUUAAAAUGAAGAGGUUUAAGUAAUUACAUUGUAUUUAUAGUUAUUUUAAGUUUUAAAAUGACAUAAUGGACUUAGAAGAGAGUUUAGGACUUAGUAUUGGGAUUUGAGGGUUAAAACCCGAUCUUUUUGCACUAUGGAUGAAUUUUGGGUAAGCUCAGGUUCUGCCGUUGAACCAUAGAUGUUUAGUUGAUGACUCAUGUGAACAGUCACAUAAGCAGUGCAUCGUAGCCUUCGGUCACCGAAGUUUAAGACUUCAGUUGCGGAACCUUCUAU